rnacentral:rRNA from 1 species
UACGUAGGGCGCAAGCGUUAUCCGGAAUUAUUGGGCGUAAGAGCUCGUAGGCGGUUGUCGCGUCUGCCGUGAAGUCCGGGCUCAACUCCGGAUCUGCGGUGGGUACGGGCAGACUAGAGUGAUGUAGGGAGACUGGAAUUCCUGGUGUAGCGGUGAAAUGCGCAGAUAUCAGGAGGAACACCGGUGGCGAAGGCGGUCUCUGGACAGUUCCUGACACUGAGACACGAAGGCCAGGGAGCAAACGGG